AGCUAUUUAGUUUAUUUAAUUCAUAAGUAUCCCGUCAUAUUAGAAAGAUUAAACAUCGAUAUAUUUUAUUCCUCAGAUUAUGUUCUCAAACAUUAUAGAUAAAUCGUUAGUUUCUUAUCUAGCAGUCUUUAAUAUUACAUGUUUACUUUUAGUGAUAUAUUGGAAUUAUUUUUAUCGCAAUAUUGACGUUUGUAAGAAUAACAAGAGAAUUAUAAUAUUAAUUACUGGCUGUACGUCUGCCAUUGGUAAGGAAACAACUAAGAAUCUUGUUAAGAGAGGCGCCAAGCUGAUCAUGAAAGUAAGUUUAACGAGAAUCAUCCAAAACUCUGUACCGGAUAAGAAAUUUUGAGAGAUCAGUGAAAGAAUGAUUAAGUUGCAAUCAAUCGAUCCAAAAAUAUAAGACAUGAAGUUAAGAUACAUUAAGUCGUUUUAUUAUUAUUGUAUUCAAUCAAACAGUUUAAAUAAUUAGUUUAUAAAUGUUAUUAAUACAAAUAAUAAUAAUUUGUUACGUCAAAUGA